GACGAACGCUGGCGGCGUGCUUAACACAUGCAAGUCGAACGGAAAGGCCCUGCUUUUGUGGGGUGCUCGAGUGGCGAACGGGUGAGUAACACGUGAGUAACCUGCCCUUGACUUUGGGAUAACUUCAGGAAACUGGGGCUAAUACCGGAUAGGAGCUCCUGCUGCAUGGUGGGGGUUGGAAAGUUUCGGCGGUUGGGGAUGGACUCGCGGCUUAUCAGCUUGUUGGUGGGGUAGUGGCUUACCAAGGCUUUGACGGGUAGCCGGCCUGAGAGGGUGACCGGCGACAAUGGGACUAAGAUACGGCCCAGACUCCUACGGGGGGCAGCAGUGGGGAAUAUGGCACAAUGGGCGGAAGCCUGAUGCAGCAACGCCGCGUGCGGGAUGACGGCCUUCGGGUUGUAAACCGCUUUCGCCUGUGACGAAGCGUGAGUGACGGUAAUGGGUAAAGAAGCACCGGCUAACUACGUG
rnacentral:rRNA from 1 species